rnacentral:misc_RNA from 1 species
AAGUCGUAACAAGGUUUCCGUAGGUGAACCUGCGGAAGGAUCAUUACCUUUCUGGCUAUUUAAUAGCUUGUCUGGGGGCUGUAGUUUCUGCAGUCCCUGACUACAUCCGUGUUUUUGCGUACUACAUGUUUCCUCGGCGGGCUUGCCUCCGGCUGGUCGAACAAAACUAACUUCUUCAAUUGCAAUCAGCGUCUGAAUUAUAUAAUAAUUACAA